rnacentral:rRNA from 1 species
UGGGGAAUAUUGGACAAUGGAGGGAACUCUGAUCCAGCAAUUCUGUGUGUGUGAAGAAGGUUUUAGGACUGUAAAACACUUUUAGUAGGGAAGAAAAAAAUGACGGUACCUACAGAAGAAGCAACGGCUAAAUACGUGCCAGCAGCCGCGGUAAUACGUAUGUUGCGAGCGUUAUCCGGAAUUAUUGGGCUUAAAGGGCAUCUAGGCGGUAAGACAAGUUGAAGGUGAAAACCUGUGGCUCAACCAUAGGCUUGCCUACAAAACUGUUGAACGAGAGUACUGGAAAGGUGGGUGGAACUACACGAGUAGAGGUGAAAUUCGUAGAUAUGUGUAGGAAUGCCGAUGAUGAAGAUAACUCACUGGACAGAAACUGACGCUGAAGUGCGAAAGCUAGGGGAGCAAACAGG